rnacentral:rRNA from 1 species
CCGGCGACCGGCGCGACGGGUGAGUAACGCGUAUCCAACUGCCAUAACGUCGGGGAUAGCCUUUCGAAAGAAAGAUUUAAUACCCCGAUGGUAUAAUUAGACCGCAUGGUCUUGUUAUUAAAGAAUUUCGGUUAUCGAUGGGGAUGCGUUCCAUUAGGCAGUUGGUGAGGUAACGGCUCACCAAACCUUCGAUGGAUAGGGGUUCUGAGAGGAAGGUCCCCCACAUUGGAACUGAGACACGGUCCAAACUCCUACGGGAGGCAGCAGUGAGGAAUAUUGGUCAAUGGGCGCAGGCCUGAACCAGCCAAGUAGCGUGAAGGAUGACUGCCCUAUGGGUUGUAAACUUCUUUUAUAUAAGAAUAAAGUGCAGUAUGUAUACUGUUUUGUAUGUACUAUAUGAAUAAGGAUCGGCUAACUCCGUG